rnacentral:rRNA from 1 species
UAGGCUGAAACUCGCCUACAUGAAGCUGGAGUUACUAGUAAUCGCAGAUCAGAAUGUCGCGGUGAAUACGUUCCCGGGUCUUGUACACACCGCCCGUCACACCAUGGGAGUUGGGAAUGCCCGAAGCCGGUGACCUAACCGAAAGGGAGGAGCCGUCGAAGGCAGGCUUGAUAACUGGGGUGAAGUCGUAACAAGGUAGC